GCAGGCUGCAACCCGCCUGCGUGAAGUUGGAAUCGCUAGUAAUCGCGGAUCAGCAUGCCGCGGUGAAUACGUUCCCGGGCCUUGUACACACCGCCCGUCACACCAUGAGAGUCGGGAACACCCGAAGUCCGUAGCCUAACCGCAAGGGGGCGCGGCCGAAGGUGGGUUCGAUAAUUGGGGUGAAGUCGUAACAAGGUAUC
rnacentral:rRNA from 1 species